rnacentral:rRNA from 1 species
GGACGGGUGAGUAACACGUGGGUAACCUACCUAUAAGACUGGGAUAACUUCGGGAAACCGGAGCUAAUACCGGAUAACAUUUGGAACCGCAUGGUUCUAAAGUGAAAGAUGGUUUUGCUAUCACUUAUAGAUGGACCCGCGCCGUAUUAGCUAGUUGGUAAGGUAACGGCUUACCAAGGCGACGAUACGUAGCCGACCUGAGAGGGUGAUCGGCCACACUGGAACUGAGACACGGUCCAGACUCCUACGGGAGGCAGCAGUAGGGAAUCUUCCGCAAUGGGCGAAAGCCUGACGGAGCAACGCCGCGUGAGUGAUGAAGGGUUUCGGCUCGUAAAACUCUGUUAUUAGGGAAGAACAAAUGUGUAAGUAACUGUGCACGUCUUGACGGU